CAUCAGCUUGCGUUGAUUACGUCCCUGCCCUUUGUACACACCGCCCGUCGCUACUACCGAUUGAAUGGCUUAUGAGGCUUCCGGAUUGGUUUAAGAAGGGGGCAACUCCAUCUUGGAACCGAGAAGCUAGUCAAACUUGGUCAUUUAGAGGAAGUAAAAGUCGUAACAAGGUUUCCGUAGGUGAACCUGCGGAAGGAUCAUUACAGAAAUAGGAGAAGGUUGCUUAACUGCAAUCCUUUUCUUUCUACACAUGUGUUUUUCUUUUUUUUGAAAACUUUGCUUUGGUGGGCCCACGGCCUGCCAGAGAUUAAACUCAACCAAAUUUUUAUUUAAUUGUCAACUUGAUUAACUAAUAGUCAAAACUUUCAACAACGGAUCUCUUGGUUCUCGCAUCGAUGAAGAACGCAGCGAAAUGCGAUAAGUAAUAUGAAUUGCAGAUAUUCGUGAAUCAUCGAAUCUUUGAACGCACAUUGCGCCCUUUGGUAUUCCAAAGGGCAUGCCUGUUUGAGCGUCAUUUUCCCUCAAACCUUCGGGUUUGGUGUUGAGCGAUACGCUGGGUUUGCUUGAAAGAAAGGCGGAGUAUAAACUAAUGGAUAGGUUUUUUUUUUCCACUCAUUGGUACAAACUCCAAACAUUCUUCCAAAUUCGACCUCAAAUCAGGUAGGACUACCCGCUGAACUUAAGCAUAUCAAUAAGCGGAGGAAAAGAA
rnacentral:rRNA from 1 species